AGCCUCCUGGUACUUGGUACAGGCUGCGUUCUUACACUGACAGUAUAGAAACAGGAGUCAGAGUAAACCCACCCCACAUACAGCCUGGGCAGGCACUCUGCCUGGUCUGUAUGGUGAAUGGGAGGACAUGG
ensembl:snoRNA